UACGUGGGGUCAAGCGUUAAUCGGAAUUACUGGGCGUAAAGCGUGCGCAGGCGGUUCCGCAAGUCAGAUGUGAAAUCCCCGGGCUUAACCUGGGAAUUGCAUUUGAAACUAUGGAGCUAGAGUGCGUCAGAGGGGGGGUAGAAUUCCACGUGUAGCAGUGAAAUGCGUAGAGAUGUGGAGGAAUACCGAUGGCGAAGGCAGCCCCCUGGGGUGACGACUGACGCUCAUGCACGAAAGCGUGGGGAGCAAACAGG
rnacentral:rRNA from 1 species